ACACUCUUCUCUCCCUUUCUUCCUGUCUCUGCAUAUGAGAAAGUUGGUAUAAGGCAUAGCCUUAACCACUCUGCUCAGAGGAGACUGGAGCCUUUCAAAUAUUUUGGAUGGCCGUUGCCCAGGUGGCCCUGAAUCAGGCUGCCUGCUGAGAAUCUUUGACUAAGAACUUGAAAAGAGAGUCCCAAUCCUGGAUCACACAAGCUCCUAAUUAUUUAGAACUUUGGAAGAAGUGGCUAUCACGUACGUAUAAACAAUAAUACCUAAGGAGGGGAUGAAGAAGUGAGGAAUUUGUGAUUAUUUGAAUUGCAUAAGAGACAUUUGAGGGAGUAGACUAAUAUUUCACAAUAGACAAAGGUAUACUUUUCAUUCGAGUUUGGUACUAACGAUGUUCUCUAUUUUUUCUGGAAGCAAAAUAAGAGACAAUUUUGAG
rnacentral:lncRNA from 1 species